GAUCCUAAUCAGCACUCUGUGUAUAUGCAGUCUUAUCUUCCCUCUAUCAAGACAUCUUUUGAUGUGCCUGCCCUAUGUUGACCUCUUUGUUUUUGUGGAUUUUGUUCUCAUUUGGACUUCAUUUCAUUGGCCAUCAAAGCCUGCUAUUUGUUGGGGCUUUCUGACUUCUGCCUCCUACAUACAAAGGUCAUAACAAGAAGAACAGAUUGUAAUGGAUCUUGUUUCCUUGAACCGAUGAAGCCAAGGGGUGUACUACGAAGUGAGACUGGUGGGUUAUUGAGCAACGUUGAGUUUAAGCUUGAGUUAAAUAUGUUUCCUUGUGUGACGUGGCAGACUGCAGAUGGGACUCACCCGCUCCAGCUGGAUGUAGAACGUCUGGUCCCAGCUCAGCCUGCUGAUGGCUGCCCAGCGCGUCCGGCCGACCACUCUGCCGUCCAGCCUGAGCACGCCACUGAUCUCUGCGCUGCUCCUUUUAGGGGUCGCCACAGCAGAUCAUCUGUCUCCAUCUCACCCUCUCACUGGCAUCCCCAAACCUCUACUUGUCUUCCUUCAUUACAUCAGGUGCCUGGCAGCUCCAUAUUCAACAUCCUUUGUCCAGUUUAUCCUCUGUCCUUCCUCUGCACAUUUCCAAACAAUCUCAGUCCUGCCUCUAACUUUGUCUCCAAACCGCUCAUCCUCAGCAGUCUCUCUGAUGUCAUUAUUUCUAAUCCUGUCUAUCCUGGUCAUUCCCAAUAAAAAACCUCGACAUCUUCACCUCUGCCACCUCCAGCUCUGCUUUGUGUCUUUUUAUCAGUGCCAACA
ensembl:lncRNA